UCUGUUUUUAAGUAUAGGAAGUCCGGCCUGCCCGGUGAAAUUUAAACGGCUGCAACGAGAGUUGUGCUAAGGUAGCGUGAUAGGUUGUCUCUUAAUUGGAGAAUGGUAUGAAGGGUCUCACGUGGGGUUUCUUUUUUUAAUUAAUAAAAUGAAGUUUCUUUUUAAGUGAAAAAGCUUAAGUUUUUGUAAAAGACGAGAAGACCCUGUCGAGCUUGAUUAAAAUUAUUGAUUCUUAAAAUAUAAUUUGUUUUAAUAAUUUAAACCUUUAUUGGGGCAAUAUAGAUUUAAAUAACAGUUUAGUAUAAAAUUUAGAUCCUCUUUGAGAGAAAACAGCAAAAGCUACCGCAGGGAUAACAGCGUUAUCUUUCUUGAGAGAUCGAAUUGAGGGAAAGGUUUGCGACCUCGAUGUUGGAUUAGGGAAACUCUAUGGCGCAGAAGCUAUAGUAGUGAGACUGUUCGUCUUUUAAU
rnacentral:rRNA from 1 species